AGAGUUUGAUCCUGGCUCAGGACGAACGCUGGCGGUGUGCUUCACACAUGCAAGUCGAACGAGGUAGCAAUACCUAGUGGCGGACGGGUGAGUAACGCGUGGGAAUCUGCCUUGAGAUGGGGGAUAACGAGCCGAAAGGCUCGCUAAUACCGCAUAUGCCGAAAGGUGAAAGGAGUAAUCCGUCUUAAGAUGAGCCCGCGUCCGAUUAGCUAGUUGGUGGGGUAAAGGCCAACCAAGGCGACGAUCGGUAGCUGGUCUGAGAGGAUGAUCAGCCACAAUGGGACUGAGACACGGCCCAUACUCCUACGGGAGGCAGCAGUGGGGAAUUUUACGCAAUGGGGGAAACCCUGACGUAGCGACACCGCGUGAGCGAAGAAGCCCUUUGGGGUGUAAAGCUCUGUCAGCUGGAACGAAAAAAAUGACGGUACCAGCAGAGGAAGCAUCGGCUAACUACGUGCCAGCAGCCGCGGUAAGACGUAGGAUGCGAGCGUUGUCCGGAUUCAUUGGGCGUAAAGAGUUCGUAGGUGGUUUGUUAAGUCUGAUGUUAAAGAUCGGGGCUCAACCCUGAGACUGCAUUGGAUACUGGCAGACUUGAGUAUGGUAGAGGCUAGUGGAAUUCCCAGUGUAGCGGUGAAAUGCGUAGAUAUUGGGAAGAACACCGGUGGCGUAGGCGACUAGCUGGGCCAUAACUGACGCUGAGGAACGAGAGCCAGGGUAGCGAAUGGGAUUAGAUACCCUGGUAGUCCAA
rnacentral:rRNA from 1 species